GCAGUAAAUAAAUGGAACCAUCUAUGAAGUCAAACUUUCUCAUCCUGCCGAAAAAAACUCCAUGAUUCCACUUCAGAGCUCCGAGGAAACUCGCCCGGUUUCAGAGCGACUCCAGAUACAAACACACACACACAGCGCUACCUAUUGCGUUGGUCUCCUGCUGCAGCAGCAGCUUCAGGUCGUCCACGGAGGAGAUGGGCGAGUUCCUCACCAGGUCGACCAGCGACGGAGGGAGAGGAUCGCCCUGCGGACACGGACACAGUUCAACCAAAAGCAUCAAGAAUCAGAUCCAAGUCGUUUCAAGUUCCGCCCGAGAAAAGAAGAAGCUGCAACGGGUUUCGAUGGCGGCCACAUGCCAGGAAGACGCCAAGACAAAUUAAGGAGUGCUGAGGAAUGGGAGAGGAAAAAUAGUGUUGGACAAACUCCGCGAGAUGCCAGGAGAAAAGUCAAAGACGUUCAUCCUCUGGCUUUUUUUCCGAUCGUGAUACAAAAUUAAUGAGUGUAUAGAUAUAACGUGUUUACAGUAUGUAAUAAGUAAACAUGACGCCCCCCCCAAGAGAGCGCG